UACAGAGGGUGCAAGCGUUGUUCGGAAUUAUUGGGCGUAAAGGGCGCGUAGGCGGUGCGGUAAGUCUUUUGUGAAAUCUCCGGGCUCAACUCGGAGUCUGCAGGAGAAACUGCCGUGCUUGAGUAUGGGAGAGGUGAGUGGAAUUCCUGGUGUAGCGGUGAAAUGCGUAGAUAUCAGGAGGAACACCUGUGGCGAAGGCGGCUUCCUGGACCGGUUCUGACACUGAGGAGCGAAAGCGUGGGGAGCGAUCCGG
rnacentral:rRNA from 1 species